AAUGUAUACAAUAAGAAUAUUAUUGACCUCUUUACUUGAGUGUCAUCUAUUCAUUACAACAAAAGAAUAAUUAUAAGCAAGAGUGAGUAAUAAAAACAAGGGCAUCUAAAAUACACCAUGCAUCAUGCUGGAGUUUAUGUGAUUGUGUAUUUAUGAACAAUGAUAAUACUGUGAUUUGAGACCUAAUUUACUAUUAUAAGAGUUGGAGAAGGGAAGGAGAUCUACUA
rnacentral:lncRNA from 7 species